CCUACGGGUGGCAGCAGUGGGGAAUAUUGCACAAUGGGGGAAACCCUGAUGCAGCGACGCCGCGUGAGUGAAGAAGUAUUUCGGUAUGUAAAGCUCUAUCAGUAGGGAAGUAAAUGACGGUACCUGAUUAAUAAGCCCCGGCUAACUACGUGCCAGCAGCCGCGGUAAUACGUAGGGGGCAAGCGUUAUCCGGAUUUACUGGGCGUAAAGGGGGCGUAGACGGCAGCACAAGUCAGGAGUGAAAUGCCGGGGCUUAACCCCAGAACUGCAUUGGAAACUGUGAAGCUAGAGUACAGGAGAGGUAAGUGGAAUUCGUGGUGUAGCGGUGAAAUGCGUAGAUAUUAGGAGGAACACCAGUGGCGAAGGCGGCUUACUGGACUGUAACUGACGUUGAGGCUCGAAAGCGUGGGGAGCAAACAGGAUUAGAUACCCUUGUAGUC
rnacentral:rRNA from 1 species